rnacentral:rRNA from 1 species
UAGCAGUGGGGAAUAUUGCGCAAUGGGCGAAAGCCUGACGCAGCCACGCCGCGUGUGCGAUGAAGGUCUUCGGAUCGUAAAGCACUGUGGGGGGAGAAGAAUAAAGCCGGUGAAGAGCCGGCCCUGACGGUAUCCCCUUAGCAAGCACCGGCUAACUCCGUGCCAGCAGCCGCGGUAAUACGGAGGGUGCAAACGUUGCUCGGAAUCACUGGGCGUAAAGCGCACGUAGGCGGCCAAGUAAGUUGGAUGUGAAAGCCCUGGGCUCAACCCAGGAAGUGCAUCCAAAACUGCUUGGCUUGAGUACCGGAGGGGUUCAGAGAAUUCCUGGUGUAGAGGUGAAAUUCGUAGAUAUCAGGAGGAAUACCAGUGGCGAAGGCGCUGAACUGGACGGUAACUGACGCUGAGGUGCGAAAGCGUGGGUAGCAAACACGAUUACAUACCCCUGGUAGAG